rnacentral:misc_RNA from 1 species
AUGCUCGCCCCGGAUCUCCGCCGCCGUGUCUUAACCAUCCUCGCCCGUGAUCUCCACCGCUGAUCUAUGGAUAUCUGCUUUCCUGUUGGUACUAAGGAAGCCAACAGGAAAUUUUGGACUGCUACUUGGAUUAAUGCUCGAGAAAAAAGCUUUUCAUUCACUACACUAAACCAGUUAACUUCCUUUCACACCGGUGCACCCAAGACAUGGUAUGCAGUCCCUAGGGACCGAGCCUCAGAGCUAGAGGAAGUUAUUCGUGUACAUGGAUAUGGAGGAAACCCUGACCGCCUUGCAUCGCUGGCAGUGCUUGGGGAGAAGACAACAUUGAUGUCUCCAGAUGUUCUUGUAGCCCGUGGUGUGCCCUGCUGUAGGUUAGUACAGUGUCCUGGAGAGUUUGUGGUGACAUUCCCAAGGGCAUACCACAUUGGGUUUAGUCAUGGAUGUAAGGAGGGCGUCCACAGGCUACGCCAUGCCUCCACCUCCGCAGAUCAUGCCUACCCUGCCCCGCCCGCGACAGCCUGCAAGCAUUAA